CUGGAACUGGCUGAAGGCUGAAGAUGCCAGGACUCGACGACCCAUCACCCUCGCCAGGCCCCAGACCCCCAGGGACGUCGGAAAGCCUCCUACGCUAUAGUAACACUCGAGCGGACCCUGGAGACGGCCUUCAUCCCUCUUCACCUCGCCCACACUGCGAAAGGCAGUCACCAGUGCCUGCUCCUCCUGCUCCACGUGUGCAGCUGUCUCACCCCAGGGAGGAAUGCACCCCAACUUUCCUACCCAUCCAAUGAGGGGAUACCUUCCAGGGCAGGACUGGCAGGCAGCUGCUCCGGGAACAUGCUGACAUGUGGAUGGGACCUCACACAGUAAUCCUCACAACCCCCACUGCGGCCAAACUACUUGGAGAUCCAUCGUGACACCACCUCUCCAGACUCAAGAGGACCCCGGAGCAGCAUGACUUCUAUAAAUGCCUUUGCUGGCUGCCGUCCCACUCAUGACUCCUCCAGGAACCCAAGGACAUGGUGAAUGUCAACCUCCCCUGGCUGGCAUUCCCCUCUGGGAACCCGAAGCUCCAGCACCCACCUUGCCCCUGCGGAUAUGCUACCAGACCAGCAACCCAGUAACUCUGGGACGGGUCACUUGGAACUGUACCCAAAACCACACUGCAGCCAGUCCCACCAAGGCCAGCCCGGGUACCUUCUUUUGGUGCAACGGCACCUUAAGCAACUGCAUAAACUCCUCUGAUCCCGGGCCUUGCUUCGGGGUCACAGUAGUUCCCCAGCUAACCUUGUAGGGAGAGUCAGAGCUCUCCUGGUUGCUCCCUUCAUCCCACCCCCAGGCCCGCAGGGCCGCCUUCCUCCCUGUCAUGUUGGGGCCCCCUGCCUCCUCAAAUUCAUCCGCUCCCAGAUCAUGGAAAUGUCACGGGUGACUGUAAACCAGCUCCUGCUCCAUCCCUACACUCGGCUGCCCCGCAACCCACCUCUGCCUGACUCUGGCCUUUAACAUCCCCCACCCUCUUCGCCCCUGGUCAGCAGGAAGUAGCCAGGAUGAUUUCAGCGGCGCAGCACCCGCCAGCUAUCACCAAAAGGCCGGGAUGUUAGGUCAAGGCAGGGAGGAAGUCCAGAGCCAAUGCAAGCAUCUGCAAGGUAGAUGGUGACAAAGAUAACUGACCCCUUCCUAGACCCUUGCCAUCCUUCCCACACCCUUGCCCGAGGCAGGAAUUCCACACUCUCAUGCCCUCCACCCUCCCCUCACUAAACAGCUGUAUAAAGGAAGUACCUAAGCCCCCUUUUUGGUGUGAACUUCUCUGGCCCACUCUCGGACCAGUGAGUUUCGCCCAGGAGCGCAAGAUUAAA